UUGUGACGGUGCGUCAGAAUAAAAUUCCCGAAUGGAAACUGGAGCUAGAGUUUAGAGUUCUGGUUGUGAAACACGGAACAAAGAAAUCUGAGACUGAAAAUCCAGAGUGGUGAGGAAUCAAGUGGUAGAAGACUUCACUGACCUCUUAAUAUAACCUCUAUGACUACAACAGGGUUCCGUGGUAAUGGCCUGGUCACGGCACCUUGACAUGUGGCAGAAACUGAAGGAUCAGGGGUCACAAAUGCAGUCCUACUGGCGAGGAAGGGUUCCAGCAGUGACUGACAGGAGAGGAGGGCUCAUAGGUUCCCAUAUAGAGGAAGGGACUACCACAUGGUUCCUCUUUAAGAAGAUUGGAUCAUGCCCACUGCCUGGCUUUCAUUAUGCAAUCACCGCUCUGUACUUCCUGCAUCCAACCCACAGACUGACUAACUAGCCGUUGGGGACUUCCACUUCCAGCCACAGGACACCCGUUGGACCCAGAGAUGGACCGGCCACAGCCUGAACAACAAUGCUCUUUUCUGGGAUACAAACCUGGGGUGUAAGGCAUGAUGCUCCAGUCGUGCCCUCUCUCAUUAAAGAUCCUCAUUGAGGAUAUAGAAUGUCAAACGCAACAGAAGAGAGGGUGUCAUUUCCAUCUUUCUAUCUAACUGUUCGUUUUAAGUAUUCAUGAGAUGAGCCCUUUUUUUCCCUAGGAACUAGGCAUGUGCGACGUGUGCUAUUUAUAUGGUAAUCAUUUGAGAGGGGUGAAGUUACGGGUCCAUCAAUGGGUUGAACAUGUGUGAGACAGGUGCUGCGAUGGAGAUCUGGCCAAAACAAUCACGUUGCUACAGAAAGGACUGCCUAAUUGAGCUCUGUUUGUGUGGCAUGGCGCUGAACAAUGGCUCAUGGCUGGCAGAUGCAACAGGGGGCCAGUAAUAUCGACAAAGCCCACAGAACAAUACCAGCAGGAGGACAAUGGAGGGUUACUGCAGAGAGCAGAGAUGACAGGAGGAGAGGAGACGAUACAGGAAUUAAAUGGGAAAUGGCAUUUCUAGUUUUUCACGACUGCCUUAUCGCCAGUGAUGGCCUGAAAACGGAAAUCGACUUAACAAAAUUAAAAGUGAGACUUUUGUCUGGACACCUCCCUGCAGCAAUUUCUGAGAUACUGGUAUUCUGAGUUAAUGUACCUGUCUGGCUCAAGGGGGAAAAGUCAUUCCCUAGUUCUAUACUGUAUUCACAGACUAUGGGGGAAACAUGUUCUGUUUCAUUUGACGAGAAAAGAAUGUCCGCAACUCUGGUAUGCUCCCAUGGUGAUUGUAACAGAUGCCCAAAAAAGACAACGUAUUGAUCCGAGUUGGAUCUUCGUCACAUCAUACGCCACUGUGAAACACGGCGACUUAAAUAACCUCGAGAGGCAUGUUCAUCCGGUCAAUUGAAUACAUAUAGUACAUGAACGUACCAAUACAUAUUACACAGUAGACAUAUGGAAAAACGUGAAUACAUGUUGGUUUGUUUAUCCAUGUCAAGUAAUAUAGAUUACUUUGCAAUAGAUUAAAAACAGAUGAGACCAAUGUGUUCAAUCAUUUUGUAUACAAUACUGUAUUAUAUAGGGAAAAUGGGAAACCCUGUGAGCGGUUUUGACUAGAAUGGAUACAGCUUAUGUCAGAAUUGACUUUUCAUAGCAGGUUAGGAUAAUUUACGAAGCAGGUUAGGAGAAUAAACAUAGCAGGUUAGGACAAUUGGGUUAAGUGUAGGGUUAGCUAAAACGCCCCAAAAAAUCGCCUUUAGACGUCAAAUUGACGUAUCUUGACAAAUCUUGUAUAGCCAUAAACUCUGUGAGCAGAACACAUUUUUAUAGAAAAGGUUCUAUAUUUAGUUCCUCGUUUAUACCUCUUGGAAACAGUGUUGAGGGAAUGCAUCCUAAAGGACUCUUGUCUCAGGAGGAAAUUGUCAUCUCGCUAGAAGUUAUUGAAGUAGGCGUGUUUCACAAUAGUGUAUGACGUGACGAAGAUCCAACUCGGAUCGAAACGUGGUCUUUUUUGUGCGUCUGAUUAAAUCACCAUGCCAGAGUUGCGACCAUUUAUUUUCUCUUUUGAUACGUUUCCUCUGUCCUGCACCUGUUAAGUGCAUAUUUUUUCCAUUUUCAUUUGACCCCAUCUACAGUAUAGGACAAUGUGACCCUAGCUGUCUGAAGUGUUAUCCCCAUGGUGGAGUGGUGAACAUGAGCACUUUGUUAGAACUCUUCUCCCUGAGGCCAGCACUUACAUCCCCCUCAAAUUGUUUUAUCUCGCUAUGUAUUGAUCUCAGUGUAUUUUUUUAUGUUAGUCGUUAUGGCGAGUUGCGGUCAGGCAGGCUUGUGAAGGACUACUUACUUACUCCAGGGCACUGCCUUAACAACUUUAUCAAUCCAUUACUUUAGAUGUGUACUGAAACUGUGGUCACUUGCCCCCUAAUGAUUAUAUAUGGCUGUAGAUUGAACAAUUUAAUUUGCAAGGCAGUUAUGGGAUCAUGUAAACCCCAGAUAGAGAUGAAUGUCUCUUCUAGUCAUUAUGUGUUACUUCCAUACAUUAACAUGAAAAUGGGA